GGUGUACUCCCUCCAUCCCAAAAUUCUUGUCUUAGAUUUGUCUAAAUACGGAUGUAUCAAGUCAUGUUUUAGUAUUAGAUACAUCCAUAUCUACACAAAUCUAAGACAAUUUUUUUGGGACGGAGGGAGUACUAA
rnacentral:pre_miRNA from 1 species